rnacentral:lncRNA from 1 species
GUGGUACUUCUAAACUUCGUGGAAGAGCCCUGUUUCAUAAAUCUGAGACAGCCUUGGUCUGAGGGAGCAAAGACAGAGAAUUCACGUGCUGCCCAGGCAUAGCCACAUAGCAGGUGGACAUCCCUGGACACUUUUCUGACCCUCAUUGGAUUUUCCUGGAAGUACGGAGAGUUACAUCCAGAGAACUCUGAACAUUUUGGAAGGACCCCAAUCCUGCAAACAAUGAAUGGCAAUAAAUCCUGGGACUGGAAAGGUUUAAUGAAGCCAGCUGUCAUGUUGAUGAGACUCAUGUGUCAAGGAACUGAAGAUGGUCCAUAGCCAACA